rnacentral:rRNA from 1 species
UGGGGAAUAUUGGACAAUGGGGGGAACCCUGAUCCAGCCAUGCCGCGUGUGUGAAGAAGGCCUUAUGGUUGUAAAGCACUUUAAGCGAGGAGGAGGGUACUGGUAUUAAUACUACCAGGUACUGGACGUUACUCGCAGAAUAAGCACCGGCUAACUCUGUGCCAGCAGCCGCGGUAAUACAGAGGGUGCGAGCGUUAAUCGGAUUUACUGGGCGUAAAGCGUGCGUAGGCGGCUAAUUGAGUCGGAUGUGAAAUCCCCGAGCUUAACUUGGGAAUUGCAUUCGAUACUGGUUAGCUAGAGUGUGGGAGAAGAUGGUAGAAUUCCAGGUGUAGCGGUGAAAUGCGUAGAGAUCUGGAGGAAUACCGAUGGAGAAGGCAGCCAUCUGGCCUAACACUGACGCUGAGGUACGAAAGCAUGGGGAGCAAACAGG